GUAAGGUGCAGUUCUUUGGAUGAUAAGCUAAAUCUACAGGGAGCACCUAGAAUGCAGAAGCCACCAACCUGGCCUUCACCGGUGAGUCAGAAGACUGGUCUGCUGCAGUCCAAGCCUUUCCUUCAAGUGCUCAGGGUUGGAAGAGAGAGAGUAAGAGCAGCUCUUGGUGUGCUGAGCUACUUGAGACAUCCUUGAUGCAAAUGCACUUUUGCUCAGUAGAAUAGUGAUGAGUUUGCUGAAAAGACCAGGAACUAUCUCCCAUGCAUACAGAUGGCAUAACUAUUCUUGGAUAAGUAUUAUCAGCUUUUUUUCCUUUUUAAAUUGUUUGUACAGAUUUUUGCAAAUCAUCAUGAAAAAGACCCUUAUGUCCUCAGAAGUUUAAGUAAAGAGCUACGAAGUCAUCUUUACAUCUGAGUCUGGUUUCCACGCUAAGUAAAUGGGAGGAAUUGCUGCCCAUUCCCACAGUUAUAAAGCUGUACAAGCAGAUUUUGAAACGAGUGGGAAGUCCUGAAACCAAACCAGGCAAUUUGGUGAUGGAUGUUCUGCCUGUUUUGUUGACAUUUUUUCAAUAUCAGUAUUUACCUAAAGUUCCUUUGCAACACAAGGUAAUCAGAAUAAUUAACAAGUAAGUCUGGUCAGAACGGAGUUAGAGACAAGGUUUUAAAAAAUCUCCAAAAGUGUGGGGUCAACCAGCUGGCUCCAGCUGGUCAGAGCACUUAGAAAAAAUUACAGUGUGAGAUUUUACUUCAUGAAGUAGAAGUAAAAAAACAGCCCCAAAACCAACCAGACAAAUAACCACUACCACUCGCUGCCCCAAAACUUCUCUCAACCAAAACCCAUACAUACCACCCUGCCAAAACAACACCAGAGCAAACAAAAAUAUCCCAAACCACAACUAUGUUAAAUUUUGCAUUCUAGCCUCAAAAGUGGAGAGGGCAGCGCCAAGCAGGAUUUGUAGAGGAGUUUUGUCUAUUUCCCAGACGAUUUUGAGGUUUAAGAAUGACACAAGUGAGCAGGCAGCACCAAGCAGGAUUUGUAGAGUUUUGUUUCUUCCCUAGACGAUUUUGAGGUUUAAGAAUGACUCAAGUGAGCACAAGGAUUUUAAACCAAGACCUGCAAAAGCCAGGUCUGGCUAAACGCAGGACUGAUGUCAGCCUUGCUGGCUGAGAAGGAGAAGCGGAAGAGGUGGGUGUGAGACCCGGCAAAGGGGGCGAGCAUCAGUCCGGCCGAGCGCCCAGAGGCGGGGAAGGGGAGGGUAAGUGGGGCUGUGCUCCCGAGGGAUGCGCUGCAGAGCCGUGCCCUCUCCUGGUGGCACCUGCGGGGUGACGGCUGGGGACAGGCUGCUGCCUGCCUGCCUGCCUGCCUGCUCGGGGGGACCAGAGCGAUUUCAUAAAAAGCUGGAGCUGACACCAGCGACACAGAUUUCACAGCCAGAGACUUGUUCCUUACAAUUGCACUGAAGUAUGUUCUUAAAAGACCACGUCUAAGCCCUUUUUUAAAAGAGGUGGACUAGACAGAAAGGGAAGUAUUAAGUAAACAGAGCUCCUGUCCUAUAUUGGAAACGGCCACACAGUAGUUCCUAGUAGUACAGAUGAUCAGGGCAUAAUUAAUUUUGCAUAACAGAGACAAGAAUAAAAUAGCAGGUUGCCCUUUAUUUCACCGCCACAAAGACUGUACAAUCAAGAGCUCUUUCUAGAGCGGAAACGGGUUGUAAAGGAGGAGAAGAGUAAAAGCAACUGUAUCCUACCUCAUGGCUUUUACGGUGCAUCUGACCUUGAUUACACAAAUAACCUUGGGAAUGCUGGCUUUUGGGAAUAAGUGGGAGCUGUUUUGAUUAAAAGAAUCGGAAUGCAGCUCUGUGUACCCUGAUACCCAGGACAAUUUCUGAGCAUUUUAUAUGUAGAAGUGAAUUAAUGCAUUCAAGCAGGAAAGAAAAACAGAACAAAGUCAUUAAACUCAGCCCAAAUAUCAAAUAAAGUUUAUUUUUAUAUUAAAAAUUAACAUGCAAUGGUUAUUAACAUAAUGCAUCACCAGCUGUUUGGCACACACAAAUGGCUGGUAAUUAUUUAAUAGCACUCAGUAUUUAGCAUGCUUUAUAAUAGAUAAAGUUGGAUGAACAAAAUCCAAAAUGUCUGGCCUUGGAAGAGGACCAGGAAGGGUGGUGCUAGGAAAGCAGCUCCUCUGCAUUUCAGAGCAGAACAUCCUCUCUGCUCUGACACCUCCGCGUUUGUGCACACCUGGCUCACCUGUGAGCAAACGUGAAAAUGUGAGGAGUUAUGUGAGUAUAGCAAGAGUGAGCUUCUAAAACAGCAUGGUGAGUGAGGAAUAGAGGGAUUUGGUUUUGUUAACUAAUCAUUAAUCAUGUUAAUUAUCAUUAAGAAUUAGUUAGAAUCAAGGUCCUACAGUUGUCCAGAGAUCACAGCUGGAGCACUAGGGAAAGACGACUGUUGGCCCCUUCUGUUGAGCAAAGCAGGAGGCUUUUUAAGAGAAAUGAGGAACACAGUUCAGUGGAGAACAUUUGGAGCAAGGAGAAGACACAUAAACUGCCAGAAGAAAAAGCAAAUAAGGAGAGAGACUAUAACAGGCAAGAAAGAUGGAUGCCUUGGAGGCAGUUUUGAGAAGAGGGACAGGAAGAGAAACUGUAGAGUAUGAAGAUAACUGUUCUCAUUAUCAACAAGGUGAAGGAGGUUCUGCAAACAUGACACCAGAUCAGUAUUCUGCUCAUCUGCAUUUACUGGUUGCCUCAGCAGUGGGUGCGUAAUGAACACCCAAAACCAUCCCUGCUCUCUGCAGAGCAGCUGUAGCUCAGGCUUGAUGUAAGGGUAGAUUUCCUUUGAGCAGCACUAAGACGCGUUCUCUUUACUCCUUUCUUCCUUUGGCCUUAUAUCAAAUGCUAUGUUCACCUUCUAGGCGUGGUUUUGCUUGUCAGGGCUUUAAUUGGGGUCAAAUGAUUACCAGGUCAGCUGGCAAUGAUGCUGCCUCUCCUUGUCUGUACAGAAACCUGUGGUGGACUUCAACCGCGUAUACUGAUGCUGCUGUUUUCUAGAGGCACUUUUUGAAGUAGGCUACCUGGUACUGUUUUGCCUACCAAAAGCUCUUCUGCAUCUUACAUCUCUUGUCUCCAGUCCCAAUGGCUCUUGCUGAGCAGGAUCAUUUGAAAUAUCUAUAUAGAGAAAAAUUGCUUGACAUUCAGAGUAGCAUGAAUAGCAUCUCAAUACUGAUAUUCAAACAACUGCUGCAACUCUUGCUGGUCAGUCUAACCCUUCACAUCUGUCAGAUGGAGUUUGGACAGCUGUGGGUUGUUGGGAAACACCUCUGUCCUGACAACUGGUCUCUGUUUAGGGUAAUGGGAGCUCAGCAUGAGCAGCAAUAUGGUGUCUGUUACCUGAACACCAGGUGCCACUGAACUCCCAAGACAUCAUUUCCUUACUAUUUAUUUUAGCUGAUAUUUUUUGGUUAUUUUGUUGAAAAUAGGGGGUUUUCCCUGUGGAAAAAACACAUCUUCAUUUCUGUCAAAGUGGUCUAUGGAGAAAAACAACACAAAAAUACUUUCCUACAAGCAGUACUAAACCAUAAUUUGAAAGAGGACACACAGUUUUAGGUGUCUGGAAGUUUGCCACGCUGAAGCAGCCACCUGUAAAUCAAGCCUUGUCCUGUCAGCUGCUGAAAGAUCAAAUCACUUCAGUGCAGUAACUUUCUCUGAAAAUAAUGAUAAUAAAUAUACUUGAUGAUUGGUCCAGAAGUGCACUUGUAUAGCAGAACUGUAAUAACUUUGCUGGCUGGUUUGAGAUACAGAUUCCUCCUGAGGGAAAGGUUAUACGUUAAUCAUUCAUGGUAAAAUGUGAAGAAACCAGGUCAUAAGGAGACUGAGCACAUUCUAAAAAUAAUGUAAUCUGGUGAGGAAAUGAAGAGGUCUGCAAGAUGGAAACUUAGAGGACACUCUGGCUAGACUCUUUUGUCCUUUGAAACUGUAGAUCCCAGAUCAAAUCCUAUCUGGGUCUUUAGCAGCAUAAGAACUGAACAAAUAAAUGCAGCAUCCCGUGUUUAACUUGUAAUUGACUGAGGCUGGAUACUCAGCCCACUAGUGUUCAGUGGGGAUGACCUUUUUCCCUGACUCCACUGGGCUUUUAGGCAAUUUGAGAUAUUUUGAAUGGGUUUGUCUGUAUUUCAGAUGGCUGAAGUCUUAAAAUUCUCUUCACAUUUCAAAGAUUCCUGUUGGCAAAGCAGCUAUGUUUCCAGGUCCUUUGUCUACCAGAGAGCAUCAAGGUUGAGAGAGCUGCAGAGUAAAGGCAGGGGGACACCUCAUCACUGUCCUCAGCUGCUGCUACAGAGGAGGAAACACAGGCUCUUCUUGGAGGGACACAGCAGGAGAUCAAGAGGGCGAAGAAACUGCAAUAGCUUUGCUCCUCCAAAGAGUGAAUUACCUUGGACUCAGCCCAGGCCAAGCAUGCCUGCACAGGAGUUGCUGCAAUGGAAAGCCAGUGACAGGUUUAUAAUGUGUGAUCUUUUUUGCAUAGAUGAACUCUUAGAGUGACUAAGAGAAGGAAGUAAAUGUCACUCUAAAACAAACAGUCCUUGUUUUCAUCCUCACCUCAUCCCCUGCUCCCCCAACUGAGCAGUGCUGAGACACAAAGGCUGGUACCUCCUUCUCCUUCCUCUGGAAUUAAUGCUUCAUGGGCUGUCCAGCUCCAGGACCACCAACUAUCUUCCUCCAGAGCUAGGCCUUUGCUUCCUGAACAUUUCAGCUGAGUACAGCCCAGGAGGGAUAAAAUACAAUUUUCAAAAUAUCUGAAACUUGCUUAACCACCACUCAGACUUCUUGCACAGUCAUUGCUAAAUUAACUUGAUUUUCUUCUGUCUUAUUAAACAGAAAGGAAACAAAACAAUAAAACUCAGGUUAUUGGACAAGCAGCUCUAUAUUAAUUUUGACAUAUUCUGUGUUCCGUAUUUGUUAAUAACUGUUGUUAGAAAAAUUCACCCUCACUUCCUAAGUCCUUCCUAGCUCUUCAUCAUGUCUCUGUUCAGCUGCCUUAACAUUUUACCAAAGAUUCAGCUUGUACUUAGUCCAUUUGCUCCUUUGAUUCUUUAUUCUGCACUCUGCUUCCUACAAGUAAGAAAACACCCUUUAAAAGUCAUUUAGCCUCACCUGUGCUAUAAUGCAUAGAAGAAAAAAGUGAGAAUAGCCUGGUUUGUAAGCAGUGCUACUGAACUACCCUAUUAGUAACAAAAUGCUGCUUUCUUGUACCUGUCUUCUACAAGGAUUGAGUCAAACAGGGGACUGAGCUUCAAAGGAAUGAAGCUUCAAAAAUGAAAUGGAAAACAAACCUGGAAGAGAAAUGUCUCACGCUUUGGGGUAAAGAGAGAAAAUGUUACUGAGAACUUGCAGAUCAUGUUUUAUUUCACCAAGGGGAACAGCCUGCUAUCUUCUGUCAAGGGAAAUAAGGGCACUUAUCAAAGAUACAUUGCUCCUUUUUGACCAUGGUCUGUGGGAUUGCAGCUUGGAGAUGCUGCCGCCCUCUGUGAUGGAGUCGUGGUUGAUGGGACCUGCCACUCCUUCUGUUACUGAUUACACGUGUGCCAAACCGUGCGUGUCAUCUACUCUUAAUCUGGCACACCUUUCAAGGUCCUGACUGUCAAUACUUGCUGUCUGCAAGCCUCAAGUGGUGCGCAAGACAGCUUUGUUCCUGCCCCAGGACACUUUGUCCUCCUGCUCUGUCAGGGCCCUGCAGGAACACUGCUGACUCCUUCCUCUAAUUGCCUACAAGUGGCAAAAGCCAAAGACUCUUAGGAGUAGGGAGGCUGAACCAUGCUCCGUGGGGUUCUGAUUUUCUUUUUCUAAUCUCUAUUCCCAUUCUGUCCACAGACUGUAAAAUACACAGAUCUCUAUCAGUUUCAUGCUGUUAUGAAAGUAAAAGAACACAA